rnacentral:lncRNA from 1 species
AUUAGGCUGUGUAAUUUACGUGAAGAUAACAGAUAAGUACAACUCAUAUGUUUUAAAUCCUUUAAGUUCAACUCAAAAUGUUUUCCAUAUUUCUUGACACUAAAAAUGUAAUAAUUGACUUUUAGUUCAUAUUAAAAGUACAUCUUGUAAUAAAAAUCCUGUUUGGAAACUGGUUCAUUUGCACAAUGAAUUUUUGGGGGAACAUAAUUUCUGCUUUGUACACUUUGCAGUUAAUAACAUUUUACCAUUUUUUAACUUUAUUUUUUACAGGUUGUAACCACUGAUAUAGAUACAAAUCCAUAAAGCAUUACAUUUUCUUAGUUUGUGUGCAAAGAUGUGUUAAGCAAAUUCCGCCUGUUAUUUUAUUUUGUCUUUUAAGCUUAAUUUGAAGGUUUUCUUUUGGCUUUUGUUGCUAGGAGAACAUUUUCCUAUAGAUAAAAUUGGUUCAUAUAUAAUCAACACAAAAUGUCGUGUAAAAUUCUGUUUGACCACAUUUUUCUAACCUCUUUAUAUACUUCUCAAUUUUACCUGUUGAAAGAAUUUGUGCAUUCUAUUUUGUUUUUUCUCCAAAGCAUUUUGCUUUUGUGUAAAUCCAGCAGUUGUGAUUUGUGAUUCAGAAGGGAAGGAAGCUUUCAUCCACCCACAUGCUUUUCCUUCUCCUUGGUUUCUACUCAUGUUUUGAGGAUACACGAACUCCUUUUAAAUGUUUGUUUUACAAUAAUUAUAUGUGGUCAAGUAAGGUCAAGGAAAGUGCAGAUCUGAAUCCUUGCUGCUCAGACACAGAAGAUGCACAGGAAAGAAUCUCCGUGGAUAAGGACACUGGUACUUUGGGCUCUAGCCAUAUUCAUUUUUAAAAAAAAACACCAAUAUAUAACAAACUACAAUUUAUAUCAUUGAUCUGUGAUUCUUUUCCAAUCACACUGAACAUUUAGCUGUACUUUCAUGUUUGGUUUAAUAGUGUAUGAAUGAAAAGCCUAAAAGGGAUGAUAGUGUUUAUUUUUUAAUUUAUUUGGUACUGUCAAACACCUUUUCAGAAUGAGCAAAUGCUGCAUUUGCAUUUUGGUAUUGUUAUGUGAAAGAUAUUACAGAUUCAGCAAGAAGGAAAAUUUGUGCUUCCUUGUUGAACAUUAAAUUAUUUUACUUUGCAUUUUAUAAAAGUACAAAUUAAAACUGAGCCAUUGAACUGCAAUAAAUCAACAAUAGUGUCUCAUUUCAAGAAAUUUUUUGUAUUGUACAUAGAUUUGUUCAAUAAAACAUUGUCCUUGUUG